GAUGAACGCUGGCGGCGUGCCUAAUACAUGCAAGUCGAGCGAACAGACGAGAAGCUUGCUUCUCUGAUGUUAGCGGCGGACGGGUGAGUAACACGUGGAUAACCUACCUAUAAGACUGGGAUAACUUCGGGAAACCGGAGCUAAUACCGGAUGAUAUUUUGAACCGCAUGGUUCAAAAGUGAAAGACGGUCUUGCUGUCACUUAUAGAUGGAUCCGCGCUGCAUUAGCUAGUUGGUAAGGUAACGGCUUACCAAGGCAACGAUGCAUAGCCGACCUGAGAGGGUGAUCGGCCACACUGGAACUGAGACACGGUCCAGACUCCUACGGGAGGCAGCAGUAGGGAAUCUUCCGCAAUGGGCGAAAGCCUGACGGAGCAACGCCGCGUGAGUGAUGAAGGUCUUCGGAUCGUAAAACUCUGUUAUUAGGGAAGAACAUAUGUGUAAGUAACUGUGCACAUCUUGACGGUACCUAAUCAGAAAGCCACGGCUAACUACGUGCCAGCAGCCGCGGUAAUACGUAGGUGGCAAGCGUUAUCCGGAAUUAUUGGGCGUAAAGCGCGCGUAGGCGGUUUUUUAAGUCUGAUGUGAAAGCCCACGGCUCAACCGUGGAGGGUCAUUGGAAACUGGAAAACUUGAGUGCAGAAGAGGAAAGUGGAAUUCCAUGUGUAGCGGUGAAAUGCGCAGAGAUAUGGAGGAACACCAGUGGCGAAGGCGACUUUCUGGUCUGUAACUGACGCUGAUGUGCGAAAGCGUGGGGAUCAAACAGGAUUAGAUACCCUGGUAGUCCACGCCGUAAACGAUGAGUGCUAAGUGUUAGGGGGUUUCCGCCCCUUAGUGCUGCAGCUAACGCAUUAAGCACUCCGCCUGGGGAGUACGACCGCAAGGUUGAAACUCAAAGGAAUUGACGGGGACCCGCACAAGCGGUGGAGCAUGUGGUUUAAUUCGAAGCAACGCGAAGAACCUUACCAAAUCUUGACAUCCUUUGACAACUCUAGAGAUAGAGCCUUCCCCUUCGGGGGACAAAGUGACAGGUGGUGCAUGGUUGUCGUCAGCUCGUGUCGUGAGAUGUUGGGUUAAGUCCCGCAACGAGCGCAACCCUUAAGCUUAGUUGCCAUCAUUAAGUUGGGCACUCUAAGUUGACUGCCGGUGACAAACCGGAGGAAGGUGGGGAUGACGUCAAAUCAUCAUGCCCCUUAUGAUUUGGGCUACACACGUGCUACAAUGGACAAUACAAAGGGCAGCGAAACCGCGAGGUCAAGCAAAUCCCAUAAAGCUGUUCUCAGUUCGGAUUGUAGUCUGCAACUCGACUACAUGAAGCUGGAAUCGCUAGUAAUCGUAGAUCAGCAUGCUACGGUGAAUACGUUCCCGGGUCU
rnacentral:rRNA from 1 species